rfam:Desulfitobacterium hafniense Y51 DNA, complete genome.
UCCUCGAUAGCUCAAUGGUGGAGCAACCGGCUGUUAACCGGUAGGUUGCAGGUUCGAGUCCUGCUCGGGGAG